AGAAAGUGGCAGAGUGGUUAUGCUGGUGGCUUGAAACCGCCUUAUGGGGGUUCAAUUCCUUCCUUUCUC
rnacentral:tRNA from 1 species